UCAUGGGCUUCACUGUGCGGGCGUUCACAUGCAUAGUCGUCUGUCCGGCCGCCAGCACAAACACUUACACAUGCACGUUAAUUUGGUAGUACGACUAGCUAGCACAGCAUUAUUCGUGUGGGACGUGGACGUCGUCGGCACGUGCAGCUAGUGCAUUGCGCCCGAAGUUUUAUUCCAACGUCGGGACGACUCGGGGGUACACGAAUUUAUACGACGUUACAAUCCAUUUCAAUGCACGAGUACUGUGUCUUUCCGAGGGUUUGGAGUAAAUGAUAGUCGUAGAGAAAACAUAUGGUCAAAUAUCUCUAUUCACUAUUAGCCGUUAGGUUUCAUGAAUUUCACUUCAUAUAGGUUUCGAUCUGUCCAUUCUCAAAGAAUUUCCAAUGACUUGGAAAGUUCGUAAAGUGUCUUAGUCGAGUUUCGUAUGUUCAUUGCUUUAGAGAGUUCGUAGUGCUAGCCCUCUUUUGAUUCAAAAGAUUUCCGUAAGGAUUCUGUAGGCUUGAAAUAUUUAGGAUUUUUUCCUAGUUGAUGUUUGAUUCGUAGGGUUGAAUUCUCAAGAAUUUUUUUCUAAGGAUUCGUUUAUACUACAUUUGAUAGGAAAAUUUACAUCCACUCCAACCUCUUGGAUAAAAUCAUUUUCUCCAAUCAAACAAACUUUGGUUCAAACAAAAUCUUAUGAAGAUGAAGUAGACAUGACAUUGCAUCCUACAUUUUUGCAAUCCUAUGAAUCAAAGAGGGCCUGAGUCGUGAUAGAUUGAAAGCUGGGUGUGCUUCAGAAGUUCCAACUAAUAUCUCACGGUAAUCGCUCCCGAUAGAAAAAAAGAGGCCCCUGCCCUAGCCAUCGCCACCCAACACCAGAUCGAUCUCAUCUCUUGGUCAACCCGGCUGGCCGGCUAGGAACGACGUCCCUUCAUCCUAUACACUUCGUGCUAUCAUAGGUUAUAAAAAAUUAGGAUUUGGUCAACCGAAAGCGGCACUAUGGUGGUGAUGGUGACACUAUGCGGGUCAAGAAUAAGGUUUUCCCGAUUCCUCGUCCACCUCGUCGACGACGAUCUUGCCGGUGGCGUUAAGGAGUGCAGGACAGUUGGUCGCUGCUCUUCUGGAGUGGUCGAUCUGGUCUUGUGUUUGUGUUUUGCAGGUCGUCUGUGUGUAUCGGCUGAUUGGUUCCUGUUCAGAUCGGCGAGGCUCGGCCAGCUUCAACCUCAUCAUGGAGUUAGCAUGGUUAGGUCUUCUCGGAUCCGUCUAGCCGGAUUGGGGAUGGUCAUCCAACCCUCUUCAUCGUGUUUUUUUUUCCGAGACUUGUUUUUCAUAUCACUGUCGUCGGCGUCUUCUGACUCCGACUGACGACUUUCCAGCUACUACGUCAACGACGUUUUUCUAGGUCCGACAUUGUUCGGAGGUCCAGAGACAGCAUUGAACUUCGCUCACAGCGUGCCACCGGCGAGUACGGAGAAAGACAACGACUUACAAGAACUUGCGUGUAAUUUUUUUUACCUCAAAGAUGGUUCCAAAAGAGUUGGUUGAUUUAACGUAUGGCCUCGGUCUUUUGGGAGAAAAAAAAUUGAAAGCCGAGUGAAACAUCCAUCGGGGAAACUUGACGGACGGCUGUCAGUUAUGGUGUUAGCAAUUUGCAUUGACUGACGGCUGCAGGCGGAAGAGAAAAAAAAAAUCCGAUAAUCUCCGCCCCGCCGCCGACUCCUCCUGCCGGCGCCGCCUCCCUACUGCUCCCCUGCCUCCGCCUCACAUCCUCACUGCAACAGCAGCCGCCGAGUGCCCCCUUCCCGCCGCCGACUCUCCCGCCCCGCCGCUGCCUCGCUAGCGAUGGGAGUGGCGCACAUUGGGAGCGGGAGCCUGCUGCCGACGGCGCAGGUGGAGAUCCGGUCUAGGUCUCCUUGGAUGGGCCCGAACCACGCCAUCAUCAACACCAGAGCACUGCAAGUUUGUCGAUUCACGACCGGUCGGCAGAAAUUGAUUUGGAGACCCACGCCUUAGGUAAUAUAUUGGCUCACUUCGCUACUUGUGUAGGUCAUUUUCGUCGAUUGUACAAUCUAUUGGGUCUCCUUAUCAAGCUGCAAGUACAGAUUAAGACCUAUUAUACAAUAUAUUGUAAUAUGCCAGAGUGGAGAUGCUCUUGUACUGUCUCAUUUUUGCUUUGGAGCAGCAGCUACGUACAUACUGAACUCUAAUUUUUCU